rnacentral:rRNA from 1 species
UGGGGAAUCUUGCGCAAUGCGCGAAAGCGUGACGCAGCAACGCCGCGUGGGGGAAGAAGGCCUUCGGGUUGUAAACCCCUUUCAGUUGGGACGAAGGUUCAGUCGUUAAUAGCGGCUUGGACUGACGGUACCUUCACAAGAAGCCCCGGCUAACUACGUGCCAGCAGCCGCGGUAAUACGUAGGGGGCAAGCGUUGUCCGGAAUCAUUGGGCGUAAAGAGCGUGUAGGCGGCCCGAUAAGUCCGCCGUGAAAGCCCAGGGCUCAACCCUGGGAUGCCGGUGGAUACUGUCGGGCUAGAGUUCGGAAGAGGCAAGUGGAAUUCCUGGUGUAGCGGUGAAAUGCGCAGAUAUCAGGAGGAACACCUAUGGCGAAGGCAGCUUGCUGGGACGACACUGACGCUGAGACGCGAAAGCGUGGGGAGCAAACAG